AGUGAACGCUGGCGGUAGGCCUAACACAUGCAAGUCGAACGGCAGCACAGGAGAGCUUGCUCUCUGGGUGGCGAGUGGCGGACGGGUGAGGAAUACAUCGGAAUCUACUCUGUCGUGGGGGAUAACGUAGGGAAACUUACGCUAAUACCGCAUACGACCUACGGGUGAAAGCAGGGGACCUUCGGGCCUUGCGCGAUUGAAUGAGCCGAUGUCGGAUUAGCUAGUUGGCGGGGUAAAGGCCCACCAAGGCGACGAUCCGUAGCUGGUCUGAGGGGAUGAUCAGCCACACUGGAACUGAGACACGGUCCAGACUCCUCCGGGAGGCAGCAGUGGGGAAUAUUGGAGAAUGGGCGCAAGCCUGAUCCAGCCAUACCGCGUGGGUGAAGAAGGCCUUCGGGUUGUAAAGCCCUUUUGUUGGGAAAGAAAUCCAGCUGGCUAAUACCCGGUUGGGAUGACGGUACCCAAAGAAUAAGCACCGGCUAACUUCGUGCCAGCCGCCGCCGUAA
rnacentral:rRNA from 1 species